UGGGAGUGAGGUUCCCAUUCAACCAACCAAUGAAGAUAUACUCCAGCUUAUGGAACGCCGAUGACUGGGCCACAAGGGGUGGUCUCGAAAAGACCGACUGGUCCAAAGCCCCAUUCAUUGCCACAUACAAGAGCUUCCACAUCGACGGCUGCGAGUCGUCGGUGGAAGCCAAGUUCUGCGCCACACAGGGCAAGCGGUGGUGGGACCAAAAGGCAUUCCAGGACCUCGACGCCUAUCAGUGGCGCAGAUUGCGUUGGGUCCGCAAAAAGUUCACCAUUUACAACUAUUGCAGCGAUAGGGUGAGGUACCCCACGAUGUCGCCC
rnacentral:lncRNA from 1 species